rnacentral:ncRNA from 1 species
UGUAAAUUGCCGCCGGGUAAGCUUUCGAGCAUUUAUUUCGUAUCGUUAGGCCUUAGAAGAUGCGAAAUCAAAUGCUUUCUUUAUU